AAGAAAGGUUAUAAAGAAAUUAUGCAAAUACAUCAAGAGUCUUACAAACUAUAUAGCCGCAUUUGAUCUUCAGAUAUGUAGGAUGGACUUGGGAUUCAAAAGGAAGUAUACGUUUCAAGUUUCUUAGACAGGUUUCCAACAAGAUAGGGCGAAAAUCGUUCUUCCUUUCCAACCCAGCAACAACCACUGGCUAUCUUCAUCAAUUAAAAAGUCUCUAUGAUAUAACCUCACCUUCUCAACUGCCUUAUUCAGGAACUCCUCCCGGUCAAAAGGUAUCUGCGUAAACCUCGCCCCCAGAAUACGAGCUUGCCACUGCUUGUAGGUCUCUGGUCGUUCAACUCUUUCUCACCCCUCACAAGCUUAUGUCAAAUUCUAGAGUUAAGAAAGGUUAUAAAGAAAUUAUGCAAAUACAUCAAGAGUCUUACAAACUAUAUAGCCGCAUUUGAUCUUCAGAUAUGUAGGAUGGACUUGGGAUUCAAAAGGAAGUAUACGUUUCAAGUUUCUUAGACAGGUUUCCAACAAGAUAGGGCGAAAAUCGUUCUUCCUUUCCAACCCAGCAACAACCACUGGCUAUCUUCAUCAAUUAAAAAGUCUCUAUGAUAUAACCUCACCUUCUCAACUGCCUUAUUCAGGAACUCCUCCCGGUCAAAAGGUAUCUGCGUAAACCUCGCCCCCAGAAUACGAGCUUGCCACUGCUUGUAGGUCUCUGGUCGUUCAACUCUUUCCCACCCCUCACAAGCUAUGACAUUCAGUGCUUCCCUUCCAAAGAUCUCUCUCUCAAUUAAUCCUCUUUCUGGAAUCUCACGGGGAACAAUAGUUUCAAGCAUAUCGAAAAGUGC
rnacentral:lncRNA from 1 species